rnacentral:lncRNA from 1 species
GAGCUACUGGCCAACCUUGAACAAGGUAAUUAAAGCAAAUAAGUUACUCUUAGAUAUGUGCUUUCUAUUUUCUUCAUACUUACAUUCUCUUGCUUUAUUUAUUAUUGUUAGAUGUACUUCAAGAAUUGUCUGAUCUAAACAUUGCUAAGUCUGGUACAAGUGCAAGUGUUCGCAUCACCAUUGAUGACACUGAAUCAUAAGUCUUGGUGAGUGAAAUUCUUGUAAGAUUUCCUAUGUAACUUGCAUGUUUUUUCAACUUGAUAUGCUAGAAACUAUGGUGGGAAAGUGGAAAUGAUAUGCAUGAUCUCGUAUACAUAUCACUUUAAUUUUGAACAUGAUUUCUGUUUUAAUUUGCUUUGCAUUUGCACAAUAUAUUUAAGUGAUUUUCUUUUCACUUCUAUAGGGAAUACGAGAAGAACAUCAAAGGAAGUGUGCUGCUGUCAAGGAAUCCUCUCAGCUUCUUUUCUUGUGUUCUAUCUUCUAUGAUUUCCUCGGCUUGGACCUCAAGGAGUUGUGUUGCUUGAAAACUUGUUAAGCCCUUAAAUUAUUAGCUAUGGUUGUCUCAGUUUGGACCUAUUCAGCUUGAACCAUGAUAACUAUUCAGCUUGAACCAUGUUUGUUUUGUGUUUGUGACUCAGCCUCAUUUGUGACUCAAGUUAUGUCUCUGUCUAUGCUUGUGAUGUUUUUAUUUUCUGUUUAUUUGAUCUAUGCUUGUG